GGAUUCUAUGGUGUAGUGGUUAGCACUCUGGACUCUGAAUCCAGUAGUCUGAGUUCAAAUCUCAGUAGAACCU
rnacentral:tRNA from 1 species